rnacentral:rRNA from 1 species
GGAGCGUUCUGUAAGCCGAUGAAGGUGUGUUGAGAAGCAUGCUGGAGGUAUCAGAAGUGCGAAUGCUGACGUGAGUAACGACAAAACGGGUGAAAAACCCGUUCGCCGAAAGACCAAGGGUUCCAGUCCAACGUUAAUCGGGGCUGGGUGAGUCGACCCCUAAGGCGAGGCCGAAAGGCGUAGUCGAUGGGAAAAUGGUUAAUAUUCCAUUACUUCUGUGUAAUGCGAUGAGAGGACGGAGAAGGCUAAAUCAGCCUGGCGUUGGUUGUCCAGGUGAAAGGAUGUAGGCAUGUAUCUUAGGCAAAUCCGGGGUACUCUAUGCUGAGAUCUGAUAGCAAGCUGUACUUGUACAGCGAAGUGGUUGAUGCCAUGCUUCCAGGAAAAGUCUCUAAGCUUCAGUUACACAGGAAUCGUACCCGAAACCGACACAGGUGGUCAGGUCGAGUAGACCAAGGCGCUUGAGAGAACUCUGCUGAAGGAACUAGGCAAAAUGGUACCGUAACUUCGGGAGAAGGUACGCUGUUGUUGGUGAUGGAACUCGCUUCCUGAGCUGACGACAGCCGCAGAAACCAGGCCGCUGCAACUGUUUAUUAAAAACAUAGCACUCUGCAAACACGAAAGUGGACGUAUAGGGUGUGAUGCCUGCCCGGUGCUGGAAGGUUAAUUGAUGGGGUUAGCGUAAGCGAAGCUCUUGAUCGAAGCCCCAGUAAACGGCGGCCGUAACUAUAACGGUCCUAAGGUAGCGAAAUUCCUUGUCGGGUAAGUUCCGACCUGCACGAAUGGCAUAAUGAUGGCGGCGCUGUCUCCAGCAGAGGCUCAGUGAAAUCGAAAUCGCUGUGAAGAUGCAGUGUACCCGCGGCUAGACGGAAAGACCCCGUGAACCUUUACUGCAGCUUGACACUGAACUUUGACCUUACUUGUGUAGGAUAGGUGGGAGGCUUUGAAGCUGGAACGCUAGUUCCAGUGGAGCCGUCCUUGAAAUACCACCCUGGUAAUGUUGAGGUUCUAACUCUGUCCCGUGAUCCGGGACGAGGACCGUGUCUGGUGGGUAGUUUGACUGGGGCGGUCUCCUCCUAAAGAGUAACGGAGGAGUACGAAGGUGCGCUCAGCGUGGUCGGAAAUCACGCGUAGAGUAUAAAGGCAAAAGCGCGCUUAACUGCGAGACCCACAAGUCGAGCAGGUACGAAAGUAGGUCUUAGUGAUCCGGUGGUUCUGUAUGGAAGGGCCAUCGCUCAACGGAUAAAAGGUACUCUGGGGAUAACAGGCUGAUACCGCCCAAGAGUUCAUAUCGACGGCGGUGUUUGGCACCUCGAUGUCGGCUCAUCUCAUCCUGGGGCUGAAGCAGGUCCCAAGGGUAUGGCUGUUCGCCAUUUAAAGAGGUACGCGAGCUGGGUUUAGAACGUCGUGAGACAGUUCGGUCCCUAUCUACCGUGGGCGCUGGAAAUUUGAGAGGAUCUGCUCCUAGUACGAGAGGACCAGAGUGGACGAACCUCUGGUGUACCGGUUGUGACGCCAGUCGCAUCGCCGGGUAGCUAUGUUCGGAAGGGAUAACCGCUGAAAGCAUCUAAGCGGGAAGCCUACCUCAAGAUAAGAUUUCCCUAGGACUUUAUGUCCUCUAAAGAGCCGUUCGAGACUAGGACGUUGAUAGGUUGGAUGUGGAAGCAUAGUGAUAUGUGAAGCUGACCAAUACUAAUUGCUCGUGAGGCUUGACUA